CCCGAAGCUCCGAAGUUCAGCCUCAGUCAUUAAGUUGUCCCGAAACAAGAUUUUUUUCCCCCUCUCUGCGUGUGUGCUGGAUGAUGAUGAUGAUGAUGAUGGUGGUGGUGGUGGUGGUGAAGAACGCGAAAGAAGAAAAAGCGUCGAGGCGACAUGGCCUCAUCGAACGGGGGAAGGCAACGUGCGCUGCAAUCUUCCUCCAACUGACAGCAUGUUAUACCACAAAAUUUGGAGUUGAAGGGUACUGGAAAGAAAAAAGCCUUAAGAGGUGCAUGCUGCAAGAGGCCCUGCUCCAGUAAGAUCGUGCUCAAGGCUAUCAAAGACAGCAAUAUUGUCACAUCCCUCCUGACUAAAUGUUUCUACAUAAUUCCAAGUUUGUGACAUUGUAUUGGAGUUAAUCUGCACUUGGUAUAUCAUGUUAUGCUGUUCAGACUACACACCAGAGACAGUGGCAGAAUCAUCUCUAAUUUUCAUGGUCAAUCAAAACAGUGAAAUGCACUGCAAAUUGCCUCAAAGAACCUAAGCUAAGAGGAGCUGAUCAGUCACAAUAUUUUUUGUCACGAGUUAACCUGAAAGUUUGAGACAUAAUGUGACACCACCCAGCACUGUGGAGAUCCAAGAGGAUUAUUGUAGAUCUCUGCCGAGAAUGUUUCCUUUUUACAUUUUCUGCCAAUCUCCCCAUCACAGAACCUGAAGAAAACUCCUACAGAAAUUCAGAAACUCCUAAUUUCCAGUAACAUUCUCAAGGAAAUACGAAUGUUUGUUUGGCUCGAUUUUGAGUGUGUGGACUUUUUUUACUCGUGUUCCCAUUUACUUUGAUUCUAGUUAUAUUUUCACUUUACAUUUCCCUUUGAUAAAAUAAAUACCAUUGCUGCGGAGAUGCGUCGAACUGUUCACUUCCGCACGCAACCACGAGUGUGAAUAAUGCUGCAGGUAAGUCAUUGCGAAUUUGUAUCGUAUUUAAUAUUGACCACUGGAUGGUGUCCCAAUUAUCUGUAAACUGAAUGGCCUGUUUGAAGUUCUUGACGAUUCCUUCAACUGGAUAAAGCUCCAAGGGCCAAUUUUAAUAGCUCCAUUAGCCCUCUUUCCGUAUUCGCGGAACUUCGUACGUUUUGGUCGCAUAUGCAAUCUACAACUGCAAUUGCCACACACCCCGUCGUGUCUGACGUAGGAACAAUGUAUAUUCUCUAGAGGUUGCUCCCAGUUCAAAGCAGCAACGAGAUCCGCUUUGCUCGAAUUGUGACAUUGUUGCAUAGCGCAAUUAAGAACUACCACAAGAAAAUGUCAGUUAUCUACUAACAAGUCUGUCCCUGACGUAAAAAGAACGAUUUAACUACCACAGUAAGGCAGCAAAUGCCUCAAGUAUGAUUUUUUUUGAAGUGCAGGCAAUGUUGCAACUUGGAAAGCAUGGAGACUAACAGAUACAAAUUCUCAAACAAGUCACCUAAUGACAAUAAACCUGUACUUGAGCCAAAAAAAGUUUCAUCCGAGAUAAAAACCGGAAGAACUGCGGCUACUAUAAAUCAGAAACAAAAACAAAUGGCUGGAAAAGCUCAGCAGGUCUGGCAACAUCUGUGCAGAGAAAUCAGAGUUAACAUUUCAGGUCGAGUGACCCCUACUCAGAACAGUUCUGAGGCAGGGUCACUCAACUCAAAAGGUUAACUGAUUUCUCUCCACAGAUGUUGCCAGACCUGCUGAGCUUUUCCAGCCAUUGGUUUAUUGUUGCAACAUUGCCUACACUUCAAAAAAAAUCAUACUUGAGGCAUUUGAUGCCUUACCGUGGUGGUUAGAUUGUUCUUUUUACGUCAGACCUUUUGCAGCAAGGUCUGUUUUUGUUUAUAGUUUCAUCCAUUAUAUCCCCACCUUCAAGAAUUUUGGCCAAGUAUUCCAUACCGAAUAAUUCUUCCAUCACCUUUUAGACUCUGCCCAUUUCUUUUUAAAAACGCAGGAGUGCCACUGAUGCCUUCACUUGCCUCGCACAUGUUCCCGGUACCUGCCCCCCACCUCCACCUCUUAUCUGAGCAUUUAUUUGAAGUUUUCCAUGCACAUUAAGAGUCUUCGUUUUCUGCUACCCUCAACCAUUCUAAUCAAUCUCCCUCUCAAUUGACUGCAGGACAUGCUGUCAGAUCCAACUCUGACUUGGCAAUCAAACUUGCUGAUAAGGAUGAUGCUGCUGUCUUGUAUACCGAUGUCGACCUCUCACAUGUCUCACCUCCCCAGGCCAUUAUCCCACCAUUGAAUAUAAAACUAAUGUUUCUGCAGCUGUGCAACCUUACCUCAUGCGGGGAAUUUCCCCCAUCUAAAACCUCCCAAUUCAGACCCCAAUCCAGUACCCAUUCAAUCUUGUCAAAAUCUACCACAGGAUUGCCCAGGCAGACCCUUACUUCUGCCCCACAGAACUUAUUGCUUCCUGCCUCGACUCUUUUUCGCCCCGUCCAGUCUCUUCCCACUUACAUCUCAGAUUCAUCUGACCAUUUAUUGUCAGUUUCAAAAUUUCUGGUGUGCAGCCACCAGGAGGAUAUUAGGGCUCUCCACUUCUUCCUUGAAAGAAGCCUGAACUAUCUCCCACUUCUUCCUUGAAAGAAGCCUGAACUAUCUCCAUCACCGUCACACCCCCCGCCUGGCCAAGUUUGUCCUGACUUUGAACAAUUCUCCUUUAACUCCUCUCAUUUCAGAUCAAAGGUGUAGCUAUGGGUACACAUAUAGGUUGGUAUCUUUUGACGUACGUGGAACAUGACUUGUUUCAGUCCUGCUCUGGUCUCUCCUCCCCAACUUUCUCCAGUACCUCAAUGAGAUCGUUGAUGCUGAUUCCAACUCUCUGGAAAUGGAAAAUUUUACAAAUUUUACUUCCAAUUUCCAUCCUUCCCUUACCUUCAUUUGGUCCAUCGCUUACUGAUCCCUUUCUUGACAUCUAUUUCCACAUCAGGGAAUAGGCCGGCCACCGAUAUCCAUUACAAACUCACUGACUCUCACAGUUAUCUUGACUAUAUAUUCCUCACACCUUACUUCCUGUAAGGUCUUCAAUCUAUUCUCCAUUUCUGUUACAUUUCUCCUGAUGAUGCCACUUUCCACAGGGUUCCUCAGACAUGUCCACCUUGAUCAUCAACUGAGGGUUCCCCGCACAUGGUCAACAGGCCCCUCAGCCAUGUCUACUCAUUGCCUGCACAUUCACCCCUCACGCCACAGUGAUGAUUGGGUCACAGUGUUUAGAUUUCAAGUAUGGACAAGGGAUAGGCUGAACAGCAAUUUAAAAUAGCAGAGAAAGCAAAAAUAUUGAAGGUCUUUUGCAGUAAGGGCUACCGUCAAAAGAUUAUUUCAAUAAAAUGGCAAAUUUGAACUGAAUGGCAAAGAUUAACCACUUACAAUGCAAUGCUUUGUUGAGGGACUUAAAAACAAAUCUACAGCUGAAGUCUAUUUGUGCAGUAACUUCUUGCAGAUAAUCAUCUUGUUUUGCAACCUCAAAAUGGCGUGGCUUUCACAGUUCUGAAUGAAUGCAAUGUCAAAGUCAAUCACUGAUUAAAUGAACAUUCCGUAAACAGUCAAUGGGUCAUACAAAAUACUUCAGUACCAAUGUGGAAAGGUUUCAAAACUAGAAACAAUGUAAAAAUACACAUCUAAAUUAUAAACAGUGAGCUAAUCACUUCAAAUACUGUAUUAACGUGCAUAGACAGUUUAUUUUAGAAGAACCACAUUUAAAUUAUGACCAAUUUCUCCCAAAUCUUUGCCACCGGAAAAACCAUGUGGCCAAAAUCUCAACAUUUGUCCUGGUUGUGCAUAUGACAUGGUGUCAAAUUUUGUACAAUAGUCUUGUUAAGCAAACUAUUUUAAAAGGUGUUAUAUAAAACACAACUUGCUGUUGACCCAAUGCUGACUUCAUGAAUUUGGUCAUCUUUUGAGAUCACUUUGUAGUGAGAAUUGCCAAAUCGUCUCUUUUCAAUGAUUAUUGUAACCUUCAGGCAAAAGCUUCAAGGUGUGUUCAGAAGUAAACAUAGCAAACUGUGCAUCCCAUCAUAGAAACACAGAAUAUAGGAACAGUAGGCCAUUCAACCCUAGCCUGAAUCACAAUUCAAUAUGAUCACGACUGAUCAUUUAGCUCAAUACCCUAAUUCUACCCCACCCCAAUCACCCUUGAUCCCACCAGCCACAGAAGUUAUAUCUACCUCCUUCUUGAAAACACAAUGUUUUGACCUUAACCACUUUGUUAUAGUGAAUUCCACAGGCUCACCACUCCCUCGGUGAAGCAAUUUCUCCUCAUCCCAGUACUAAAAGGUUCAUCCCUUCUCCUUAAACUCUGACCCCUAGUUCUGGACUCCCCUAUCAUCAGGAACAUCCUUCCUGCAUAUAACCUGCUCAGUCCUGUUAGACUUUUAUAAGUUCCCAUGAGAUUCCCCAUCUACAAUGCUAACAGCCUUCAUCUCUGCUUAGACAUCAAUCCUGCCCAGGAAACAAUUUGAUAAACAUUCACUAUACUCCCUUCUACAGCAAGAUGGGCAUCAUUUAUCAAAAAGGGACACCAAAACUUCACACAUAUUCAAGGUGUGGCCUCACCAACGCCCUGUUUAAUUGCAGUAAUAUAUCCUUGUUCCUGUCCUCUAAUCCUCAUGCCAUAAAGGCCAAAUUUCAGUUUGCCUUCUUUACUGCCUGCAACCCAUGCUUACUUUCAGCAAUUGAUGCAUGAGGACACCUAGUUCUCAUUGAACAUUACACUCUCAAUUUACAGCCAAAUAAUAAUCUGCCUUCCUAUUUUUGCUACCAAAGUGGAUAACCUCAUAUUUAACCUCAUUAUACUGCAUCUGCCCCGUAUUUCUCCACUAACUUAGCCUAUCCAAAUCAUACUGCAAUAUCCCUGCAUCUUCUUCACAGCUCACCCUUCCACCCAGCUUUGCAUCAUCUGCGUACUUUCAGAUAUUACAUUUAGUUCUGUCAUCUAAAUUAUGAACAUUUUUGUGAAUAGCUGGGGCCAUAACACCAAUUUCUACAAUCACAGCCUGCUGUUUGGGAAAGGUCCCAUUAUUACUAUUCUGUUUCCUGUCUGCUAACUAAUCUUCUAUCCAUCUAAAUUAACUACCCAAAUCCCAUGUGCUUCACUUUUAGACAUUAAUCUCUUACGUGGGCCUUUGUCAAAAGCCUUCGAAUCCAAAUAAACCACAUCAACUUGCUCCCCUACUCUACUAGUUACAUCCUCAAAGGAUUCCAGUUUGUUUUCUAAUCAGUUGUAGAACCAAGAAACUUUCAGUUCAGUGUCUGGUUUCAUUUUCUUGUAUAGGACAGGGCAUUUUUAUGUCAGAGCUGAUUAUAUGCAUUUCGACAUAGCUGUAUUUCCAGUGAUUAAGCAUCUCUACAGGUCGGAUUGCUGCAUCUAACUGCAAAUUAUGUGUAUUGCAUAUAUUACACAUAGCUGGUACUUGUCCAUGUAAUUCAAUCUACAGUAUCUGUUCAAUAAAAACUCGCCUUCUUCUAAAACAAGUCUUGCACUGAGUAGUCCCAUUUUGCAAGUACACACAUCUUUAAAAUAAUAAAAGGUCAAAACAUCAAUUAUCACCAGCAAUUUAAAAUGUCACAGAUGAGGCAACAAGUUUAUUUUCCAGACUGCAGAAAUAGUGGUUUUAUAACAGAUUCAAAAUGUAUGUUAAACUUACAAGACCCUGCCGUCAAACAUACACAAGAGCUUGGUAUUUUAACAUGUUUAGAGUAGCAACUCAAAAACAUGACAUUGUUCUAUAACCUACAACUCAAUAUAACAAAAAUAACAAACUAUGUGAAGUUAAAUAAAAGUCACCUUGAAUUAUAUUCUGUUGUACCAGCAGAGAAAUAAACAAAUCUCCCACUGCCCUAGCUACAAAUUUAUCAGAAGGCAAAAGCAAAUAGUCUGGGAACUAGAAGCUAUUACAGUUACAUUGAUUCACAAAAUGUAUCAGAAAAACAAAAUGAACAACAUUUACAUGACUGAGUUCAGAAAGGCUUCUGACAUUCAGGACUAUUGUCAUUUUUUCUGUAACCGGCUAAAUGGUUUUGUCUCAUGUCAACAUAAUAAAGUGUAAGCUGUUCACUGA